AACGAACGCUGGCGGCAUGCCUAACACAUGCAAGUCGAACGAGACCUUCGGGUCUAGUGGCGCACGGGUGCGUAACGCGUGGGAACCUGCCCUUAGGUUCGGAAUAACUCCCCGAAAGGGGUGCUAAUACCGGAUAAUGUCUUCGGACCAAAGAUUUAUCGCCUUUGGAUGGGCCCGCGUUGGAUUAGCUAGUUGGUAGGGUAAAAGCCUACCAAGGCGACGAUCCAUAGCUGGUCUGAGAGGAUGAUCAGCCACACUGGGACUGAGACACGGCCCAGACUCCUACGGGAGGCAGCAGUGGGGAAUAUUGGACAAUGGGCGAAAGCAUGAUCCAGCAAUGCCGCGUGAGUGAUGAAGGCCUUAGGGUUGUAAAGCUCUAUUACCCGGGAUGAUAAUGACAGUACCGGGAGAAUAAGCUCCGGCUAACUCCGUG
rnacentral:rRNA from 1 species